UCAAUCACGAUCUCACUAUCCCUCUCACUCGAUCGGUGCCGUUCUCUCUCAUCCUAGAUUCGCGAUCGAAGACAUCUCUCUCACACUCGUUCUCUCUCGAACCCUAGUCUCCAAUCCCUUUCACUGAAUCACAAAUUCCAAUCCCUAAUUGAAGAAUCAAGGCUUACUGAACCCAAAUCGAAGCUCAGUGAAAUGAAUCAAAGCUCUCUCAGCUCGUUACAGAGUCAUAAUCGCACCGCCUCUUCUCUCGAUCUAAAACUGGUGAGUUCUGACGAUUAAGGGUUUUUAGGUUUUAGCAUAUGUUUAUCUUUCAUUUUAAUCUUUGAUUUUGAUGAUUAAGGGUUUAAUCCUGUGUAAUUUUUUGUA
rnacentral:lncRNA from 1 species